GUUGAACUGGGAUCUCUGUCGGGUUGGUCGAAGUUGUGAGCACCAUGCUUUUUAGAGUACAGUUCUGGAAAACGUCUCUAGGACAUACCACUUGUGGCAUGUUGUUACACUUUAACGGCAGGAAGGAUGUUGUACGGUCGAAGGACCUGGUGAUGUGAUGCGAUGCAAUACCUGGCUGUGAUGAUGGUACUCCAGAGUGUGGUUGAGAAGGCGGUGGGUUAUUAGAGUUAGACCUACCCUUGUGGGUGAGAAUGAAGUGGUAUAGAAUGCGGAGGAAAAGUAUGUGACGGGAGUUUAAGAUGCGGCGGCAUGUGCGGUGGUGGACCACCAUGUGGACACAUGCCUGGCAGUGGAAAACAACUGCAUACUAGGCAUACCAGGAUGAGGCGGCACCUGGUGCGGCGAUGUUGGACGUCCUGGGUGAUAACUCGGAACGUGCGGUUGAUGCAUCGUAGGUGCAGAAGUAUGGAAUGAUGCCUUCUGCGGUGGAAGUUGUAGCUGAAGAGGCAUCGAAGAUUGAGUCCUUGGUAGCGGUUGAUGUUGCGUUCGUCGUAGACAUUGUGGUGUUGCACUCAGAUAUUGACUCACCAGAUACCCACAAAAUAAAAACUAACGUGUGCUUAAUGUUCGCAAAUAUCACGUCGGGGUCACCAAUUUGUGGGAUCGGUGAGUGAGUGCAAAUGUUAUAAUUGAUGUGUGUUAAAAGACACGAUGUUUAUUAUCACGAACAAUGUUUAUUAAGAAGUCUUGAAGAAGUAUAGUUAAGAAGUAUUGUAGAGAAGAAUAGUUAAGAACUGUAGUGUUUGAAGUAAUGUCAAGAACUGUCCUUCCUAAACCCUUGUCACCCACCAGCAACCCUUCAGGUUGAUGGGUGGUGACAAGAAAUUUGGAAGUAGGAAGAAAGUAAUAGAUUGGAUUGGUAGAAGAAAGUGUAUGACAUUGAAGAGAGGGAAAGCUGACCAUUGGAUUCUGGGAAUCCGAGUCGUGCCAAACCGUCCGACUCGGGGAUUAGGUUUUUCAAGGUAAUAAAAGAUAUUAGGAAAUUUGGGAAUUUUGGAUGAAGAAUUACGGUAUACAAUAAAGAUGAAGAAAGUUAUAAAGUUUUGAAAUACAGAAAUAA